UCGUGGAGCAGGUGGUGUGCACAAGCUAGACGAGCAGCCGCGGCAGCGAGGACAGGCGAGCAGACUGGUCACUGGAACCGCCGUAUAGAGGCGCGGUGACCGGCCUGGCCCUCGCGCGGGCUCUCAAGCAGUGACCGACGCGUGCGUUCCGUCCCCCCACGCGGCGGCGCCGCUAGUUUGAGCUAAAGAUGUGAUUAAGGAGAUUGAAGAGUUUGAUGGCCUGGAAGCUCUACGACUGGAGGGGAACACAGUGGGCGUGGAAGCGGCCAGAGUCAUCGCCAAGGCCUUAGAGAAGAAGUCCAAGCUGAAGCGAUGCCAUUGGAGUGACAUGUUCACCGGAAGGCUU
rnacentral:lncRNA from 1 species